rnacentral:tRNA from 1 species
AAGACUUUAAGUUACUUAUAGACUGGUGGCCUUCAAAGCUUUUAGAGGAAAAUAUUUUCCAAGUCUUG